GAGGCCUACAGAUGUUCCGGCGAACUCUCCAGGUCCGAUCAUGCAGUGGCACUAGUCAUGUGGCUCCCUUGCGGCGGUCGGCGAAUUAUCAUCCAAACAUAU